rnacentral:miRNA from 1 species
AGUUGGUGGGCUGCUGUUUGGA